ACUGCCGUCGCGACAGUCCAUUAAUAUCUUCCAGGGCCCCGCCCGGCCAUCGUGUUUACCCCUUAGCAUUUUGGAGGCUCCAGUGCACAUACGAACACUAUGCAGCUGGGAGAGACAUGUCUCCUCGGCCAUCAGGACUAGUCCUUGAGAGGGUUCCUUCAAACUUGAGCCAUUUAAGGAACCACGCGGAGCUUUGAGAAAAGAAAAACCAUAAAGACGCCACACUCAAAAUGGCGUUGGACUCCGCAAGCGUGGCGUGACGUGGCGACCCAGCUCACAAGGACAACUUCAAAACACUAGAUUACUCGAUUUUUAGCGCUUUCUCACUUCGCUGUCGAACUAACAAGUUUGUCCUGUGAAAGAAAGACCAGAAUGGCUAUAAACGGAUCCCAAGAAACGAUCUUCGCCACACUCAAGAUGGCGGCAGAUAGCGUCCGACCGUGUGUUGCCACAAGGGGGCGCCCGACACGGAAGGCGGAACUUAGGAAAAACGCGUUCACACUGGCUGACAGUGGCGGGCGAACACAAAGUUGACGCUUUGCGCCCUGCCAUUGGUCCUUCCUGCUGUCUGUCGCCUGUGGACCGCGGAAUCGGGAGUGGGGAAAACCCGGAGUCUUGAAUCGUGGAGGACGGGUGGAUGGCAAAUUCCGUAGACCUUUGAGGUCGAGGCGAGGAGACUGAAUUGCCCUUAUCGUUUCCCUCGGGCGCUUGGGCCCAUCCCCGCCAGGAGGCCCCUUUACUGAGCUUGAGGAGAGGGGAGGAACGUGCAGUGUCGGGGAACUGCUGUAGUUGGACCCCGGAUCUGCCCGCGAGCCGCACGUGGCCGGCCCGCAUCCCCGCGCGCACGUGCCAGCCCCGCCGCCAGCCUUUCGGGCCUCCUCGAGCUUUUCCUUUAAGGAGAAUGCCUUGCCGCCGCCCUUUGGCCUGCACCCACUCUCGUUGUCCAGUGGUAGCUCCUGUCCCCCGCAGCCCCUGGCAACAGAGAGGUAUACUUCGCGUGGUCUCACUCUUCUCCAAGCACACUAAUGGCUGGAGGUGGUUAUCUCGCCCCAGCGCCUUAGGUUGCACAAACUGUCCCUGAGUCCGAACUCUGCCCCACCCCCGCCAGCGGCGGUCACUGUAGCGAGGAUAUGGAGCCAUUCUCCUUAAACCGGGAAGGGCCUUUGAGCUGCAGCUGCCAAGGCCCCCUUUUUUUUGUAGGAGAUAGGGAUUGUGCUUCAAUAUAAACAAAAAAGAGGAUGCUGUCUACCUGGGGCUUAUCCAUUAAGCUCCCGCUAUUCUCUAGAGGACUGUUCCAUCUACAAAACCCAGAUGCACAAAGAGCUUGGCUUACACUACCCACAUCUUAGCAGUUGUGGUUUCUGAGUUCGCAGUAAAGAGGACAUCAGGUUCUGGAUUGGGAGAGCUGAGGGAGGCAAGGUGGCAAUCAGUGAGAAGCUGGAUAAGUAUGAAUUUCCCUCGAAGAACUACUUUAUCUAGUCUUGUGCAUGCUCCUGGCCCUACUAAAAGAGUGGGAGGGAGGCUCAAGCAUCAGGUUGCAGCCGUACCACCUAAAUUCAAGCUAAGCUUACUGAUCUCCUGCUGUAUUCAUGAUAGUGAUUGGCUCAUGCAAGGGGUUUCGGGGCAGAGGUUCUAGAAGGGGACUUGAAGUUAUCAAAUAAACCAUGAUCAGAGCUCUGGCUAUCCUAGUAUGGUUGAGAAGACCAGGAACACAGAAACAGAAGUCACCUCUGGGCCUUCUGUCUGGCCACAGGAGUCUAACAGCCAGGAACUACUGCAGUUUACUGGGGCUAUGAGGACUCUCUUCCUGUAACUGGUUGUUCUACUUCUUCAGCUGUUUCUGAGAGGGCUGGUCUUAUUGUCUGGAUUUCCUCAUCCAUGUAUCUUAGGCCUUUGGCUGCUCCAGAGGCAGGAAGUGAGGCAAUUCCAUGUUGUUACCCAAAUCUCUCCAGACAAGCUAGUGAGCUCUAACAGGCCACUUUUCUUCCUCUAGGUCAGUUCAAACAGAUCUGGGGUGUUCUGGACCUGCCUUAAACCUGUGUUCAGUGCAGGUGGUCCAGACGGCUUCAGGGCAAGUUCAUUUUAAGGGAAUUUUCCUGGGCACACCUCUUUUUGCCUUAUACAUUCCCCAGCAGGCCUGACCUGUUUCUUUAACGGGCCUGGCCCUAUAGGUGCUUAGCCUGCAGCCUAGGAUGGCUCCUGAGUAAUUUCGAACAUAUUUAUUCCUUAUUGAUUAUCUCACAACUCUGCCUGAUACCUAAAACAUUAAGUAUCUAUUUUGGGAGCUGGGUCAGAUUUGGGGGCUGCUGAAGUAGUGCCCAGGAUUAAGAUGCUGCCAGGCCUGAGGACCUAGGCUCAGUCUCUGUGGGCCACAAGGUAGCAGGAGAGAGACAUUCCCACAAGAUGUAGGACCUCCUGCUGACCUCCAUGUGUGCCCUUCUCCACGCAUAAACAGAUACAUGUAAUUUUUGUUUGGUUGGUUUAAUUUUUCAAGACAAGGCUUCGCUGUGUAGCCCCGACUGUCCUGGAACUCUGUGUAGACCAGGCUGGCCUUGAAUUCAGAAAUCCACCUGCCUCUGCCUCCUACUACCGGAAUUAAAGGAGUGUGCCACCAUGUCCUUUCAUGGUGUACUUUUUUUCAAUUAAAAUAUAUAUUUGAGAACUGGGCAGUGGUGAUCCAUGCAUAUGUGUGCGUAUACAUAGAUAUAUACUAUAUAUUUACAUAUCAUAACUAUGUAAUCAUUAUAUAUAAUCCACACAUGUAUUAAAGCUGCCUGCAUCAGCCCCAGCCAUGCUGUUUCUCAUUUGUGUAAAGACAGGUGAUCCACUUUCUCACCUCUAAAAGCCAGACGUGACAUAACAGUGACCUGAAAACUAGAUAUUCAGAAGGAGCUGAUAACAGUGCCCAGCACAUUCAGGGAAACAUGCUCUCAGGCUGCCACCUUUCAGUUACCAUCUAUAUGUAAGUGGGUAUGCGUGUAAGAAUGUUUGCAGGACUCUGGCAAAAGGAACACGGUCUUCAGCAGAGUUUUCUCAUGUUUGGUGGCAAAGGAGGACGGUGUCUUCAGACUUUCUGAGGCCAGUGAUUCAUCGCCCAGCAUGGUUGGCAGUGCCUUCGGCUUCUGAGGGACGAUGGAGUCGGGGCGGUAGCCACAGUGGAACAGACCUCAAAAACCCCUGCCUUCCCGCCCCUCAGAAUUCAGAACCCCUGGAGUUUCGGGCUGUGGUUUCCUUGCUCAGGCGUCAGGGCCUGGGGAGCUGCCAGCUGCCUUUCAACCCUCCCGCCUUGCCAGUGGCUGGAUUGUGUAAGAGCCACCCCCCCUCCAUGGCUGCUCUCUAGCAGGCCUGGGCCUGCCCGCCCUUGCUGUCCUCCCUGGGGAGCUGGGGUAGAGGCCUGACUCCUGGUACUACUGGUACUCACAGGACUGGCCACCCUGGGAGGCUUCUAAGCAGCAGGGAGAGGGUGUGGAAUGUCUCUUGACAUUUGAGGCCUGCUCUCAAAACCAGUGCCAGAACCUGCAGAGCCCGGUGGUGCCGGUGCCGGCAGGAACCAAGUGAGCUCUGGUUUCAUUGGUGAGUGGGUGGGCCCAGCCUCACCUCGAGAUGGCACAGGAAGAUGCUGGUUGCAGAAACUCAUGAGUUGGCACACACCUGGGUAACCACCUUCGAAGGCCGGUGAGGCACUGCAUCUGACAAGAAGGUAGGUUCCUGUGGGACCCUAAAUUCAGCAGAGACUCUCCACACUUCUGCCUUUCUGCUACACCACCCGACUUGGGAGCACAGCAGGAGCCCCAAGGAGGGGGCUGUUGAGCUGGGGUCUUGGAGCUGAGAUGUUCUCACACUCUCCCACACAAGGUCCUCUGAGCAGAGCAAUCUCUUCCAGCCAUGUUCUGGAAGGAAAACAGUCAGGUAAAGUCUCUGUCUCUGUAGGAAAAUCUCAAAACCAGACUCACCCUCACCGAACUUAAACCUGGCCAGGGAGAGCAAGGCCUGGUAGAUGCCUUUUUAUAGAUGUGUGUGCACCACGCAUGAGAAGUCCAAGGACGGAGCUGCCUUCACAUCUGAGCCUGACUCUGUCAUCCCUCAGGGACUAUUUACUGACCUCGCUUUGGUUGCAGUAUUCUCCAUUAAGGUGGUAUGGAAGGUUACCUACAAUUGCUUCCCCAGCACAUGGCUUCAUCAUCCACACUUUGGUAAACAGAGAAGAAUAUGGCCUAUUUCCUUGGGAGAGAACUGCGUGCCUGUCCCAACCCUGCUGACUACUCACAGAACCACACUACUCUGAGGCAUAAAACCUUUGACCAACAUAAUUUUUUUACAUCCCCAAAAUAUUAAAAAUCAACCUCAUUUAAAUUGUUCAGGUUGAGUCAGUCGUGUGUUAUACACCUUGAAUCUCAGCAAUCGAGGCAGAAGGAUCCCUGUGAGUUUGAAGCAGGCCAUCCAGAAACACAUAGUGAAACACUGCC